ACAGUCUCAGUCGAGUAAUCAGAUCAGUAGCUCAGUUCAGUUUAAGGUUUGCUUAACCGUAACAUAUAGUUAUCAGUUAUUCAGUUAUCAGUAUUUUAAUACCUCAAAUUAAAAACUAUUUCAGAAUUAUGUUAUAUGCUUGGUCUUGCAUUCUCAAAUAAUACAGUUUUCAUGAAUUCAUGCUCAUUUAUCUCAUGUUUCUCAGUCAGUCCUUACCUCAUAUGCAUAAUACUCUACUAUUUC
rnacentral:lncRNA from 1 species